GGGACUCAUGAGCUGGGAGUCUGGCCACAUUUCCUACCCGAGAAGUAUCUCCAUCCUAGACGCUGAUCCUUGACAGCAUAUGCCCCUGUUAAAUUCUGUUUGGAUUUUCCUCUCUCAUCCCACCAUCUUGUGAAGUUCCCCAGAAUUCAAGAAGGGUUGAGCAAAGAGCUAAGGUUGCAUAAACACACCAAAUUCCAGGACGAGGUACAUUGGAACAGCCUCUGCAGCCUCAAUUCAGAACCAGAAUGCAGACUUGUUUCAUGAAAGCAGUAUCUGAACUGGAAUAGGUCCUCUGCUUUUGUCCGUGUAAAGCAGUCCAAUGUAUUUGUUGUGCCUUGCUAGCUUUUGCAGUAGCCUUUGCCCAGCUUCUCAGGGCUUCAGCGGCACCUUCUGGCAAAGCACAAGUAGAUCCAUUAAAAGGAGGAGAUUGCUAAUAAACAAAUGGGAGGGAGCAAAACUUUACAGCUGGGUUUGAACCUUCAUCUCACCCCCAAGCAAAAUGAUCAAUUGUCAGGGAUCAUGGGAAUUGUAGUUCAACAUCUGGAGGGCCAGAAGUCCCCCAUCUGUGCUUUAUAGCCGUAACAAAAGCCAACAUCCUUUUUGACCAUGUAACUUUGGUUUUAUUUAAGUUUGUGUAAAUCACUCUAGGAACCAAGGGUAGGAUAUAAAUUGAACAAGUGAACAAGCAUUUCUCAAAUUCAGUAGGUGAAGGCACACACUUUGAGGAAAAAACUGAGACUAAUUUCACUCCCACCAAAACAAGAUUUACUUUUCGGAAUUAGAACCUUCCUUAGAUGAUCCCACCACUUCUACUGGAGUCACCACUGAUUUGAACAUACCUCCUGGUUGUUAUGAGGCAAGCCCAGAGCAGGGACUCCAGAGCGUGGCUAAUUCAGCUGUAAAGGGACGCGGGUGGUGCUGUGGUCUAAAACACUGAGCCUUGCCGAUCGGAAGGUUGGUGGUUCGAAUCCCCGCGACGGGGUGUGCUCCCGCUGCUCUGUCCCAGCUUCUGCCAACCUAGCAGUUCGAAAGCACACUUGUGCAAGUAGAUAAAUAGGUACCACUCCGGCGGGAAGGUAAACACCAUUUCUGUGCACUCUGGCUUCCGUCACGGUGUCCCGUUGCACCAGAAGUGGUUUAGUCUUGCUGGCCACAUGACCCGGAAAGCUGUCUGUGGACAAACACCAGCUCCCUCAGCCUGAAAACGAGAUGAGCGCCGCAAUCCCAUAUUUGCCUUUGACUGGACUUAACCGUCCAGGGGUCCCUUUACCUUUUUUAAAUGCCGCUGUGCUGAGAAUGGUUGAUUCAACCACACCUGAUGCAGGUUAAUGGAAAAGAGGCAAGUACUGUGGUAAAUCAGAGACAAGCUGGCCACCUUCCCCUUUGCAUGGGUUCACAAGUGCCUUCAGUUGUUUAAUCCUGAGUAAUUGAGACAUGCUCAUGAAUCCAGGCAGUGUUUGGGAGUUAGUGGUGUGAACUUAGGUUAAAAAAAAUGGUAAAGGACCCCUGGAUGGUUAAGUCCAGUCAAAGGCGACCAUGGGGUGUGGUGCUCAUCUUGCUUCAGGCCGAGGGAGCCAGUGUUUGUCUGCAGACAGGUUUCUGGGUCAUGCGGCUGAACCACUUCUAGCAGAAAGGAACACUGUGACAGAAGCCAAAGUGCACGGAAACCUUCCCGCUGCCACAGUACCUGUUUAUCUACUCGCACUGGUAUGCUUUUGAACGGCUAGAUUGGCAGGAACUGGGGCAGGUCACACAAUUUGAACCGCUGAUCGAGACAGUCGAUUGGCAAACCCAAGAGGCUCAGUGGUUUAGACCACAGCGCCACCUGCUUCCUUCUGGUGUGAACUUAACCCAUGACUCAAUCAUUAAAAUGUUCUGAGAAUUGUGACAGACUGAUGAAAAGCACAGGACUCAUUGCUUGUUAGAACAAUAGCUUUUUUAUUUAUUUGACACCUACAAGAUUUUGGUAUCUUGCAGUUCUGUGGACAGGUUUAUACAAUCUCAAAUUUUCAAUAGUGCAACCUGUGCAAGCAAGAAGAAAAAUGACAAACAUUGUCCUUCACUUUCUUUAUAAACAUCUACUAUUAUAGGCAAAACAAAACUUACCCAUAUUUUUUAGAUAAGUGACUAUUCACAUUUUGUACAUUUACAAUUUUAAACAGCUCCAGGAUAAACUCUACAAUGUCUUACAACAUAAACAAAAGUAUUCAAGUUACGGGGCAACGGGGGGAAAAAAAUCAACCCAGCAUACACAUCGGACCCUCAUGUGCCGCUGCCCCCCUCCCCCCCAUGUCUCAUUUACAGCUCAAGUAUUGAGUAACAAAAAACGAAAACUUUUUUUAAAAGGGCUGUAAUGUGAAAUGGAAGUAAAUUUGCACUUGUGUUUCCUAAAAACCUCACUGGAUAAAAGAAAAAUUUGAGAAGGAAAGAAAAAAGAAAA